GGGCAACCUGCCUGUAAGACUGGGAUAACUCCGGGAAACCGGUGCUAAUACCAGAUACAAUCAAAGACUGCCUGGUCUUUGAUGGAAAGGUCUUGUACCGCUUACAGAUGGGCCCGCGGCGCAUUAGCUAGUUGGUGGGGUAACGGCCUACCAAGGCGACGAUGCGUAGCCGACCUGAGAGGGUGAUCGGCCACACUGGGACUGAGACACGGCCCAGACUCCUACGGGAGGCAGCAGUAGGGAAUCUUCCGCAAUGGACGAAAGUCUGACGGAGCAACGCCGCGUGAGUGAUGAAGGCUUUCGGGUCGUAAAACUCUGUUGUCAGGGAAGAACAUCCGGGAUAACCUCCCGGUCUGACGGUACCUGAUCAGAAAGCCCCGGCUAACUACGUGCCAGCAGCCGCGGUAAUACGUAGGGGGCAAGCGUUGUCCGGAAUUAUUGGGCGUAAAGCGCGCGCAGGCGGUCUCUUAAGUCUGGUGUGAAAGC
rnacentral:rRNA from 1 species